ACAUCUUCCAUCUUCACCGUGAGCUGGGAGACAGGAGGAUAAUCUGGCUUCAGGAAGGAAGAAAAUGUUUGUAGUUCUGGGAACUCCAGCUCAUUUUUACCACUGCCUGACAGCCUCCACAGCAGGGUUUGUUUGAAUCCCAAGGGAAAGGAUAUCUCAGCAGCUUCAGGGAGUGACUGCGUACUUUGGUGAAAAGCCCCAGUGAGCUCUUGGUUUAAGCUAAAAGGUGGUCCAGCACGCCCACUACAAAAUCCUUGCAUUGCAUAGAUAACUUCCUGUAAUCGUUCUAACAGAAUAAAGAGAAAUCAGCGGUAUGUCACAUGGUGCCCCGCAGAUUGGCUUGCCCAGCAUAGCUGUGUCGAUCAGCAACUGCUCACCACAUGUGACCUUAUGGAGCACAUUGGAUGCACUUAUGGAACGCAGCAGGAUGUGCUGGGUGCAGAAGGCGGGGCAAUUUCUCUUGACACGCGACCUGAAGGACAUUUUCUCUAGGUCAGCAUGUGUG
rnacentral:lncRNA from 1 species